AACGUAGGAGACGAGCGUUAUCCGGAAUUACUGGGCGUAAAGCGCGUGUAGGCGGUCAUGUAAGUUCGUCGUGAAAGCUCCCGGCUAAACUGGGAGAGGUCGAUGGAUACUGCAUGGCUGGAGUGGGGGAGAGGCAGGUGGAAUUCCGGGUGUAGUGGUGAAAUGCGUAGAGAUCCGGAGGAACACCAGUGGCGAAGGCGGCCUGCUGGCCCUCAACUGACGCUGAGACGCGAAAGCAUGGGGAGCGAACGGG
rnacentral:rRNA from 1 species